UACGAAGGGGGCUAGCGUUGCUCGGAAUGACUGGGCGUAAAGGGCGCGUAGGCGGUUCUGACAGUCAGGCGUGAAAUUCCUGGGCUCAACCUGGGGGCUGCGCUUGCGACGUCGGGGCUGGAGUGCGGAAGAGGGUCGUGGAAUUCCCAGUGUAGAGGUGAAAUUCGUAGAUAUUGGGAAGAACACCGGUGGCGAAGGCGGCGACCUGGUCCGUGACUGACGCUGAGGCGCGAAAGCGUGGGGAGCAAACAGG
rnacentral:rRNA from 1 species